rnacentral:tmRNA from 1 species
GGGGAUGUAAAGGUUUCGACGGGGAUGGCGAAGCCGGGUAAGCGAGUAGCGGUGAGGAACCGCUUUAAAAGCCUCAACCUUUUAAAUUUAAACGGCAAGAAUAAAGUUGCUUUAGCUGCUUAAUGCAGCUCGUCUGCCGGAGAGGACCGCGGCUCCGGACAAGGCGUCGACAGCGGUUACUGUGAACAGCCCACGCCUUUAAGCUGUCACACAUAAAAGGCUACUGAAACGCGGAGCCUGUUAUUGGGCGCCGCGCAGAGGGAAUGUCAAAACAAUAACUGCACUCGGAGAAAACCUUGUGGAACUGUUUUCGGACGCGGGUUCAAUUCCCGCCAUCUCCACCA